rnacentral:tRNA from 1 species
AAAGGUUUGGGGUUCAAAUCCCUAAUAUAACAACA